rnacentral:rRNA from 1 species
CCUACGGGGGGCUGCAGUGGGGAAUAUUGGACAAUGGGCGAAAGCCUGAUCCAGUCAUGCCGCGUGUGUGAAGAAGGCCUUCGGGUUGUAAAGCACUUUCAGUGGGGAAGAAAGCCUUGGGGCUAAUACCCUCGAGGAAGGACAUCACCCACAGAAGAAGCACCGGCUAACUCCGUGCCAGCAGCCGCGGUAAUACGGAGGGUGCGAGCGUUAAUCGGAAUUACUGGGCGUAAAGCGCGCGUAGGCGGUCUGAUAAGCCGGUUGUGAAAGCCCCGGGCUCAACCUGGGAACGGCAUCCGGAACUGUCAGGCUAGAGUGCAGGAGAGGAAGGUAGAAUUCCCGGUGUAGCGGUGAAAUGCGUAGAGAUCGGGAGGAAUACCAGUGGCGAAGGCGGCCUUCUGGACUGACACUGACGCUGAGGUGCGAAAGCGUGGGUAGCAAACAGGAUUAGAUACCCCGUAGUC